rnacentral:rRNA from 1 species
AGUGAACGCUGGCGGUAGGCCUAACACAUGCAAGUCGAACGGCAGCACAGUAAGAGCUUGCUCUUACGGGUGGCGAGUGGCGGACGGGUGAGGAAUACAUCGGAAUCUACUUUUUCGUGGGGGAUAACGUAGGGAAACUUACGCUAAUACCGCAUACGACCUACGGGUGAAAGCAGGGGAUCUUCGGACCUUGCGCGAUUGAAUGAGCCGAUGUCGGAUUAGCUAGUUGGCGGGGUAAAGGCCCACCAAGGCGACGAUCCGUAGCUGGUCUGAGAGGAUGAUCAGCCACACUGGAACUGAGACACGGGCCAGACUCCUACGGGAGGCAGCAGUGGGGAAUAUUGGACAAUGGGCGCAAGCCUGAUCCAGCCAUACCGCGUGGGUGAAGAAGGCCUUCGGGUUGUAAAGCCCCUUUGUUGGGAAAGAAAGCAGCAGGUUAAUACCCCGCUGUUCUGACGGUACCCAAAGAAUAAGCACCGGCUAACUUCGUG